AUGUAACGUUUAUCGUUAUUCACUUUAUAAUUGAUUUGUUAUACUGGGGCGGUAACCUUCAUUAGAGUAACGAGGGUAAGCAAAAGCCGGUAUCAAGUUCGAACUGAUAAAUGCCGGUUGACUGUGAGAAACACUAUUCGAACAGACGUAAUAUAGAUAAAAUCUUCCCCGCUUGGAUCAGUUUGGCCUCCGGCCAAACUCGAUCGAUGGACUUUUGGCCCUGGCCAAAAGUCAUCCUCCGCGAGCCGGGGAUUCCCGGGUCGCUCCGCGACCGGGAUGUAGAAGCGGGUAGUAAUGACCGGAUCUGUAAAUGUUACGGAUCCAUCAAUGGACAAAAGAUACGCUAGGGAUAACAGGCUUAUCCGGAAAGAGAGUUCAUAUCGACUUCCGGGUUUGGCACCUCGAUGUUGGAUCAUCUUGUCCUGUAGCUGCAGAAGGUUACGAGGGUUAGGCUGUUCGCCUAUUAAAAAGGUACGUGAUCUGAGUUCAGAACGUCGUGAGACAGUUCGGUUUCUAUCUACCUACAUCCGUUCAUAUCUGCUAAGGUUGGUUAGUACGAAAGGACCAUACCAAUCUAAACCUCUGGUUCAACUGUUGUUAUCAGCAUUGCAGUAAAGCUAAGUUUAACUCGCGGGGACGAACAUUUGAAAAGGAUUCGUAUG
rnacentral:rRNA from 1 species